rnacentral:rRNA from 1 species
CAGUUCAGAUUGCAGGCUGAAACUCGCCUGCAUGAAGUCGGAAUUGCUGUAAUCGCAGAUCAGCAUGCUGCGGUGAAUACGUUCCCGGGCCUUGUACACACCGCCCGUCACACCAUGGGAGUCGGUAACACCCGAAGCCUGUAGUCUAACCGCAAGGAGGACGCAGUCGAAGGUGGGAUUGAUGACUGGGGUGAAGUCGUAACAAGGUACC